rnacentral:ncRNA from 1 species
AGAGUAAGAAACAACGCGUGAAGUGCCGUGGGUACGGGGAGUUGACACACGGACGAAAAGCUAUGCUUGCGGUGUUGUUUCUGCAUCCCGCU